CUUUCCUGGCAAUGGGCAAAAGACACCUUGGUGGUGGUGUUUUUCUACCAGUCAGGGCAGAGCAGAAGGCAGUCCUUUGUUCAUCCUAGCUUGAUGCCUGGCUUGGUAUCCAAAUCUGUCUUAUGCCUAGGAUUCAUAC
ensembl:snoRNA LOC120099475 small nucleolar RNA SNORA48